rnacentral:rRNA from 1 species
UACGGAGGGUGCAAGCGUUAUCCGGAUUCACUGGGCUUAAAGGGUGUGUAGGCGGAUAUUUAAGUCAGUGGUGAAAUCUCCGGGCUCAACCCGGAAACUGCCAUUGAUACUAUUUAUCUUGAGUUCUGUUGAGGUGGGCGGAAUACAUCAUGUAGCGGUGAAAUGCUUAGAUAUGAUGUAGAACACCGAUUGCGAAGGCAGCUCACUAAGCAGACAUUGACGCUGAGGCACGAAAGCGUGGGGAUCAAACAGG